AACGAACGUUAGCGGCGUGCUUAAUACAUGCAAGUCGAACGAGAAAGCACUUUCGGGUGUGAGUAGAGUGGCGCACGGGUGAGUAACACGUGGAUAAUCUACCCUUUGGCGGGGGACAACAUUUGGAAACGGAUGCUAAUACCGCAUAAGUCGGCUUCGGCCGGGAAAGGUGGCUUCGGCUACCACCAGAGGAUGAGUCCGCGACCCAUCAGCUAGUUGGUAAGGUAAAGGCUUACCAAGGCAACGACGGGUAGCUGGUCUGAGAGGAUGAUCAGCCACACUGGAACUGAGACGCGGUCCAG
rnacentral:rRNA from 1 species